AAAAUUUAAAUGGCCGCGGUAUUUUGACCGUGCUAAGGUAGCAUAAUCAUUAGUUUUUUAAUUGAAAGCUGGAAUGAAAGGUUGGAUGAAAAAAUAACUGUCUCAAAUUUAUUUAAUUAGAAUUUUAUUUUUAAGUUAAAAAGCUUAAAUAUUUUUAAGAGACGAGAAGACCCUAUAGAGUUUGAUAAAAAUUCAUUAUUUAAAUUUGGCAUUCAAUUUUUUAUAACUAUAUUUUUAUUUAAUUGGGGUGAUUAAAAAAUUUAAUUAACUUUUUUUUUACUUAUAUAUUAAUGAAUAUAUUUAUGAUCCUAUAUUUUAGAUUAAAAGAAAAAAUUACCUUAGGGAUAACAGCGUAAUUUUAUUUUAGAGUUCAAAUCGAAAAUAAAGAUUGCGACCUCGAUGUUGGAUUAAAA
rnacentral:rRNA from 1 species